UGGGGAAUUUUGGACAAUGGGCGAAAGCCUGAUCCAGCAAUGCCGCGUGUGUGAAGAAGGCCUUCGGGUUGUAAAGCACUUUUGUCCGGAAAGAAAUCCUUGGCUCUAAUACAGUCGGGGGAUGACGGUACCGGAAGAAUAAGCACCGGCUAACUACGUGCCAGCAGCCGCGGUAAUACGUAGGGUGCAAGCGUUAAUCGGAAUUACUGGGCGUAAAGCGUGCGCAGGCGGUUUGCUAAGACCGAUGUGAAAUCCCCGGGCUCAACCUGGGAACUGCAUUGGUGACUGGCAGGCUAGAGUAUGGCAGAGGGGGGUAGAAUUCCACGUGUAGCAGUGAAAUGCGUAGAGAUGUGGAGGAAUACCGAUGGCGAAGGCAGCCCCCUGGGGCCAAUACUGACGCUCAUGCACGAAAAGCGUGGGGAGCAAACAGGAUUAGAUACCCUGGUAGUCCACGCCCUAAACGAUGUCAACUAGUUGUUGGGGAUUCAUUUCCUUAGUAACGUAGCUAACGCGUGAAGUUGACCGCCUGGGGAGUACGGUCGCAAGAUUAAAACUCAAUGAAUUGACGGGGUCAUAGCUG
rnacentral:rRNA from 1 species